GGAGAGGUGGCCGAGAGGCUGAAGGCGACGGUUUGCUAAACCGUUAUACGACCUUAAAUCGUAUCGAGGGUUCGAAUCCCUCUCUCUCCGCCA
rnacentral:tRNA from 2 species